GCCCACCUAGCUCAGUCGGUAGAGCACGUCCUUGGUAAGGACGAGGUCGUCGGUUCGAUCCCGAUGGUGGGCUCCA
rnacentral:tRNA from 1 species